ACAAUAUGAUGGAAAGGAAUAUGAUAGAGGGAACAUGAUAGAGAGCAAUAUGAUAGAGGGAAUAUGAUAGAGGGAAUAUGAUAGAGGGGAAUAUGAUGGAAGGGAAUAUGAUUGAAGGGAAUAUGAUAGAGGGAAUAUGAUAGAAGGGAAUAUGAUAGAGGGAAUAUGAUAGAGGGAAUAUGAUAGAGGGGAUAUGAUAGAGGGAAUAUGAUAGAGGGGAAUAUGAUAGAGGGAAUAUGAUAGAGGGAUAUGAUAGAGGGAACAUGAUAGAGAGCAAUAUGAUAGAGGGAAUAUGAUAGAGGGGAAUAUGAUAGAGGGAAUAUGAUAGAGGGGAAUAUGAUGGAAAGGGAAUAUGAUAGAGGGGAAUAUAAUUCCAACAAUAUGAUGGAAAGGAAUAUGAUAGAGGGAACAUGAUAGAGAGCAAUAUGAUAGAGGGAAUAUGAUAGAGGGAAUAUGAUAGAGGGGAAUAUGAUGGAAGGGAAUAUGAUUGAAGGGAAUAUGAUAGAGGGAAUAUGAUAGAAGGGAAUAUGAUAGAGGGAAUAUGAUAGAGGGGAAUAUGAUGGAAGGGAAUAUGAUUGAAGGGAAUAUGAUAGAGGGAAUAUGAUUGAAGGGAAUAUGAUAGAGGGAAUAUGAUUGAAGGGAAUAUGAUAGAGGGAAUAUGAUAGAGGGAAUAUGAUAGAGGGGAAUAUGAUGGAAGGGAAUAUGAUAGAGGGAAUAUGAUAGAGGGAAUAUGAUAGAGGGAAUAUGAUAAGUGACGAUUUUAGUUUGUACAUCUUGGUGGGGCA
rnacentral:lncRNA from 1 species